rnacentral:sRNA from 1 species
UGAAGAAAAAAGAUUAACAAUAAAGUAAUUAAUAUAAUCUCUGCAAUUUAUUCAUAUCGGAUUAUGAAAAUCGAAUACUUAUUAUACCAUAUCAAUUAUAAAAUAGUAGCUCUAACAAUUAUAGCGACAACCACAGUUAUCAGGUCCAGGAACAUUAGGAUCAUCAAAACAUUCUCCAACUCCAUUAUAUCCAGUAUAGCAGCUUAAACGGCAAUCACUAAGAUGACAUGGAGUUGCUUUGUCAAUCGUUAAACGACAUUCCUCUCCCUCAACUUUUUC